rnacentral:lncRNA from 1 species
AGGUCGCGCCAGUGCACUCCAGCCAAGACGACAGAACAAGACCCUGUCCAAAAAAAAAGACUUGCUAGGCAGAAGGGGGCAAGUGACUUUGAGGCUCUUGUGUUUUGAGUGAUGUCACAGAGACAGGCGGGUCACUAGAAUUGAUCGUGGAUAGUGAAUGAAGCAAAAUGUCCCAAAGCAAUGGGACUAGUGGGGUGGGGACAAGAGCACAUCUAGGAUAUGUUAAGGAGCAAUAGAUGUCUAACUGGGCAAAGAAGAACAAGGACCCUGGCUUCAGAAAAGCUGAGGAUUUAGGACUCCGUGCCAGGAGUUUGCACCCUCGGGACCUUGGCUGAGUAGAGAAACAGGUGAAGAGGAAGGCCGCCAAAUGGAAGAGAUGGGAAAACACAUCGGGACAGCAGUGGGUGUGGCCAGAGAAGCCAGUGGCUACUUUCAAUUGCCUGUGUCUAAUCACAGAGGAAGAAACAUGUCCCUCAGUAGCUGUGUUUUUCAUGUUUUUCCCUUUAGAAGAGAGGGAGACAGGGGGGUCUCCCAGCCAGGAGCCCUAGAAGCAGCCGGGCUGCCGCAUGUUUCCACCUGCAAGCGAGGUUCCAGCCAGCUGUCCGGGCUGGGCUGCCACAACAAGCGGAAGGGAAGAGCGCCACUCACCUGGGAUCGCGAUGUUUCUCACCCUCCUCAAGUGUGCAUUGCCAGCUAGGCAUUGCUAAGCUAAUUUACGUGUUGUAGCUCUGGAGGCUCAAGGUGAGAAAGGGGAGCCAGCCGGCUGCAAAUGGGAAUCCUGCCUUCCACCCGAGACAGGCUGGACUGGCCUCAAGCUCCCUCUGUUCCCAUGUACUCAAGGCCAGACCAAUUACUAUUUGUAGAAGGUCACACCCCAGGUCUUCUGAUCCCAAACCCUUUCUCCCAGGCACCUGUUCAUCAGCCCCUAGAGUCACCCAGAUUGUCUGGGUUCUGUCCUUGGUGACAGCGAUUAAACUUGUAACACUGAGUGCUCCGUAGCAUACUGUGGGGGAGAGGAGUGA